rnacentral:rRNA from 1 species
UGCCAGCCGCCGCGGUAAUACGGAGGGGGCGAGCGUUAUCUAGAAUAAUUGGGCGUAAAGGGUUUGUAGGCGGUAUUUAGCUGUUAAAUGUUAAAAAUUAAAGCUCAACUUUAAAAAUGCAUUUAAAACGUUUAUACUGGAGUGCGAAGCAGGAUAAUGGAAUUUUACAAGGAGGGGUGAAAUCCGUAGAACUGUAAAGGAACGUCGAAAGCGAAGGCAGUUGUCUAGGUCGUUACUGACGCUGAGGAACGAAAGCGUGGGUAUCAAACAGGAUUAGAUA